UGAGGAAUAUUGGUCAAUGGGCGGGAGCCUGAACCAGCCAAGCCGCGUGAAGGAAGAAGGCGCCAGGCGUCGUAAACUUCUUUUGUCGGGGAACAAAGGGCGCCACACGUGGCGUUGUGAGUGUACCCGAAGAAAAAGCAUCGGCUAACUCCGUGCC
rnacentral:rRNA from 1 species